GAAGCCAGGAGCCUCUAUAGAGCUCCACAAGCAAAGGGACGAUGGUGGCUGCAGGGCGGGUGGGGAAGAGCACAGGCACCGAAAGCUCUCAGAGGUCACCCAAGCGAAGAAGUUGAUUUUGGCCGCCAGGGAAUAGGUAGUGAUGUCUGGAGACCCAGAAGAGGCCAGGACAGCUGCUGAACCCCGCGAGGCCCAGGACGAACUGAUCUGACCCUGCAUACCAGCAGUACUGGGGCUCAGAACCCCCAAUUAAUGUGAUGCUGCUGUUGCCCUGUCUGGACCCUUCAUGGUCAGAGCGUCCUCCAGAGCCAGGUGGUGAUGCCUCCUUCAGAGCAGGUGAAGAGCACUGAAGGACCCUUGUUCUCAA